rnacentral:rRNA from 1 species
UACAGAGGUCCCAAGCGUUGUUCGGAUUCACUGGGCGUAAAGGGUGCGUAGGCGGUCGGAUAAGUCUGACGUGAAAUCUCCGGGCCUAACCCGGAAACUGCGUUGGAAACUAUCUGGCUAGAGGAAUGGAGGGGAGACUGGAAUACUUGGUGUAGCAGUGAAAUGCGUAGAUAUUCGGAAGAACACCAGUGGCGAAGGCGACUUACUGGACACAUAUUGACGCUGAGGUGCGAAAGCGUGGGGAGCAAACAGG